rnacentral:rRNA from 1 species
AUGACGCUGGCGGCAGGCUACACAUGCAUUCAAACGGUAACAGGAUGUGCUUGCACAUCGCUGACGAGUGGCGGACGGGUGAGUAAUGCUUAGGGAUCUGCCUCUGUGUGGGGGAUAACUAUUGGAAACGAUAGCUAAUACCGCAUAAUGUUUACGCGACCCAAGGGGGCGUUUGCUCCCGCGCAAGAGGAACCUAAGUGAGAUUAGCUAGUUGGUAAGGUAAUGGCUUACCAAGGCGACGAUCUCUAGCUGUUCUGAGAGAGAAGAUCAGCCACACUGGGACUGAGACACGGCCCAGACUCCUACGGGAGGCACGCAGUGGGGAAUAUUUGCACAAUGGGGGGAACCCUGAUUGCAGCCAUGCCGCGUGUGUGAAGAACGCCUUCGGGUUGUAAGCCACUUUCAGAUUGUAGAGGACAAGGUUAGUAGGUUCAUACCUGCUA